rnacentral:lncRNA from 1 species
UUGAAGCACCGCUCCAAAUUACAGUCCAAACGUCGAGGCAUCGCUCAGCUGCUUUAGUAAAAAGCUUCGAGUUAUCCAUUUGAAAAAUUCCGUUUCUCGAGACGGAAGCAUUUUCUCUAUUCAAACUCAUAACUACGAGUCGAUUCCGGAGCAAAAAAUCGGACAUUCUUCGCGCUACAUCCGCGUCCGAAUCCACUAAAUUUUAUUCACUCAACAAACUUUAUCAAAAUCUGGAAUCCCCGAUCUUCAAAUUUUCCGAAAGCAUUGAAAUUAUCCCUUUUAUCAGUUCGCCCAUUUUCUCGUCAUCAGAGUCCCAAAGUGAGUGUUUUCUAAUCACUUUCCCACUGUCAAUCCUCGACAACACGAACGACGGGUUACUUGACUCCAUCGUCCGGAGAGUCAUUGUCACAUCUAACGAAGUUCCUUGAGCGCAGCUCAUCCGGAGUGUCGAGACUCGGUACCGGAUCUAAUUAACCAGUGACACGGUGAACGAAGGAUUGAUUCAGAUUCCCUCGUCCGCAUACUUUAUUGAGGAAAAGCACACUCGCUUUUGAACCAGCAGAUUAAAAAAUGGAGGUAAAAAACGUGUGACGAAGAGAAGUGCGAUGGAAUCAUUAGCGAGUCGUGGACAGCUGAGAACUAUUUUUAACGUUGCAUAUUAAGCAAGUUGCCGCUCGCGGUGAUUGCCUAUUACGCAGGUAUCAAGUGACAUAAGAUCCUGCCGAGUGUCUUAGGUGCGCGCGUGCUUCGUUCAUUCCCCAGACACUUUUCUCAUCCGGGGUGCCAGGACCCGUGGCCAGAAGCACGUCUUCGUCCGCCUCCCGCCUCGGUCCCUCGCUUCUCUGCGGCACUACCGAGGACCUCGGGAACCUGGCACUUUUCCCUGUCUCUUAUAACAUCCGCCAACAUAUUCUGCGAGGUAUUUUCAUUCGAGUGGGCGGCCGAUUGAACGUGGAUUCUUCGUUCCUCAUCCCAGAGCGAUUAAAAUUUUGGGCAAUUCGUCGGAUUCGUAUUGUUUUGAAAAAGUGUUAGAAUUUUCUGGCAGCACCGCACCAGGGGUCAAAAUGUCACAGCUUCGUGCCCCGGAUUAUUUUGGAGGCGAAAGGAUUGGAGCGCACACGCGGAGUGGGGUUAGCACGCGAACGAGUUCGCCUGGAAGUAAUGAAACGAUAAUUGAAUUUUUUUGUGGAAGAAAUCCGCCAUCUCGAAAUGUCUCGAGCGGAGACGCGCUGCAGACGGCAGCUGAGAAUCCGCUGGAUGAACUUUUCCGUAUCGAGGACGUUCCCGCGAUCCUCAUUCUUGCGAAAGAACAUCUCGGUGGCUGGGCUCGCCGUCUUAUUAUACAUAUGUUGAAGCCCCGUCCGGGGCUUUUCUCUCACAACGCGUGAUAUUCACUCGCACAUAAACGUCCGAGAGUUCACACACUGUAACUCUUCGUAAGCGGGAUCGGAAGAGCGAGUGCGGCGAAAGAGAAUGGGGGGAUGGAAAGGAGAAGCGGCGAAGAGAAACGAGGAGGGAAUAAAGCUAUUUUUUCAUUCCGUAAAUUAAUCGUCGUUGCGGCAUCAAUGCGCCGAGAUUUAUUGACCCAAUUAUUAUGGACUAUAAAGCUCUCGACGCGCUCUUGCGGACAACCGACAAUUUCCUCUUUCUUAAAAAUCGAUGGAACUUGCUUUACUCGAGAGCUAUUCCAUUUAUAUUGUGUGUAUAUAAGCGUGGGGUGUGCGGGGUAAAACGGAUCGCGACGGGACCUUUCGAGUGCUGAAAAAUCUUCGAUUCUCAAAAUUCUUCGAGCGACAUUUUUUCAAUCAAUAUUACUGCGAUCAAGGCCGUUACAUUUCUGGCGUUCCCUUGUUCACGAUUUCGGGGCAGCCCAUCCUGCCCCGGUGUCCCAUUUUACCCCGAUGUCUCCUCCUCGUCCCGUGGCUUAGACACCGUCUCAAGCGUGUACACAUGUAUUCGAGGAAGUCGAUAAGCCUGAGGCACUUUCCCAAGUACCACACGUAAAAGCUCAUGCAAAUAUAAUAAUAAUACCCGUUAUCUUGAAGUGAAUUUACCUAAUUCACCGUAAAAGUUAAAUGAUCACAUGUCAGUAUCCGAUGUACAGCCUCAGCGCCACGGACGCACACGACACCGACGUGUGCAUUUAUUUUGUGCAUAGGAGCAUUGGUUAACCGUACACAAGUUUCACUCGUGAUUUACACGGCCAAUCAUGGUCGACCUAAAACAACAAAUAGAGGGGAAAAAAAGGAGAGGAAAAAGAAAAGAAACGAGCAGAUCUCUUAGCGAAACCGACAAUUUUCAUCAUCGCAAAAUGGUAUUUGAAUAAUAUCCGUGCGAAACCGAAUGCCGAAGCCCGGAGGCCACGAUAUCUCGUGCGUUGUUCGAUGACGUGGCCGCCUCUAUCCCCGAGUGCAUUUCUCAUUGGGUUCGGUAUGCUUUAUUCGGACUUGGGUAUUCUGAGCUUUUUCAAACUGCGUCAAUACUCGAGUCAAACCUGCAGAGGCCGGGGAGCAAAAUCGCAGCCAUACUUCACAGUUCUCGCAAAACGUACGUUUCAUUUCUCAACGCUAUUGACAUAGCUAAGAAAUUCGACUGGAGCCGAAUUAUCUUAUGGCAAUUAUCGAGGGCGGAAGGAAACUGCAGGAAACCUUGCCGAUACGCGGCUGGUACCUGGCCGGCUUUUUCAGGUGGCGGGCGAACGCAGAUUCGGCCACAGAUUCGCGAAGGGUGUCCUUGGAGGUUGGAUCAUUUCGUGUGCUCACACAGCUGGUACAACAUCAAGGACCAAAUUCCCUUUCUGAAGCUGCAUCCUUGUGACAUACGUCCAUUCGUCACGGUCGAUUCGACGUAAAAAAAGCUCAGACUCGUUCAUAUACGGUGGAGCGAAUGCAGGUUUGAGCCCGACGACCUUUGUACUUGCUUCUUCCACUUUUUCGUCAAAUUUCUAUCAGCUGGACUCUAAUCAUCGAAUGUAGCUCUGUAAUCUCAUAUUGCAGGAUUCGUUAUUUUGGGAUCACAAAAAAAAGUUGUUCCGCAGCAUCAAAAAUAAUUCGGGUACGAACAUUUCCUUUUGGGAGCCAUCAACGAUCUUCCAAGUCCGAAAAUAUAUAUCACUGUGAACUUUGGAGACACUCUGUAUAUUUUUUGG